AUGGAUCCAUUAGUCAACCAAGGGUGGACCUCAUCAGAGGAAGAGGAGGCAAGGUCAGUCAUUGUUGGGCACAACAGCCACACAAUCGUGUACGAUGACAAGAACAAGAGGCACAACAACAUCGUGGAUGCUCUCCAUGAAUUAUUCCCUUCAAAGACAAGGCAGCAGGAGAUUGGUGCUAGCAACAUAUGUGGCAUCAAUACCAUGGGUGACCAUGUGAUUGACGGCUAUGGGGUACGAGAGGAGGAGGAAGCAGCGACCAUGAAUGAUAAUGAAUUGAUAUUUGGUCAUGCAUUGGAGGAUACAAGGAUCACAGAGACGAAGGAAGCACCAUUGAUGGUAGACAAGAACAAGAUGCAGAUUUUGGAGAACAAUAUUACUAGUGAUCAACCAGCUGUUCCCCCACGCCAAGGGAGGUUUUGGACCAUCGGCGAACACAAGUUGUUUCUCCGUGGGCUAGGUGUCUACGGUCGUGGUGACUGGAAAAACAUAUCCAAGCACUUUGCCACUACUAAAACUCAUGUCCAAGUCUCAAGCCAUGCACAAAAGUACUUUAGGAGGCUACAUAAAAGAGCCUCGUUUGGGACGCAACGUUAUAGCAUCAAUGAUGUUGGGCUACAUGAUGAGGACCCAUGGUCGAUGAAUAAUAGUUCUGGUCCCUCGCAGAUGCUUGGUUCUACCGGUCUCAACAAUGAAACAAGCUUCGGGUUGCAGGCUCCAGUAAGCUCAUCCAUAGUCAUGAACAACCAGCCUCAGUUAUGGCCACCUUUCAUAUAUAGUCACCAAGUAAAUCAGCAGCCAGUGUGGAGUGAGCAUCAGAUGUUGGGGUCAACUGGAGUUGUAACGGAUGGCAUGGGAAAUUCUGCUCCUCCAUGUCAACAAGGAUCGACUUGUUUUCCUCUUGGCAAUGUAUGA
rnacentral:rRNA from 1 species